UACGGAGGGUGCAAGCGUUAAUCGGAAUUACUGGGCGUAAAGGGCGCGUAGGCGGCCUUUCAAGUCAGGUGUGAAAGCCCACGGCUCAACCGUGGACGUGCAUCUGAAACUGAGAGGCUUGAGUAUCAGAGGGGAAAGUGGAAUUCCCGGUGUAGAGGUGAAAUUCGUAGAUAUCGGGAGGAAUACCGGUGGCGAAGGCGACUUUCUGGCUGAAUACUGACGCUGAGGCGCGAAAGCGUGGGGAGCAAACAGG
rnacentral:rRNA from 1 species